GAACACGUGGCCUAAUGGACAAGUUGGGUCUGACUUCGGAUCAGAAGAUUGAGGGUUCACACCCCUUUGUGGUUG
rnacentral:tRNA from 1 species